CGGAGCAGCAUCCUCCAUCGUCGCCGUACUCAUUCCGUCAAGCAUCCUCCACUGAACUGAAACCACAACGGCAGUACUUCGAGUUUGGGGUGUAUUUCAUCUCGGACGUUGUCUAGUCUCACCAACAUAGGAAAUCAUCCCCAUUGGAGACUUCUCCAGCUCAGGGUACCUCAAUCGAAGCUUCAACUCAGCUUUGACAGGUUGAGCCCAACAAGCAGCUAAUACCACUGUCGAAAGCCUCGCAACGAUAUUACUGCCGCCUUCUCAGGUUUGUCAGCAAGCAGAUCCACCUGGACCUUCACCCUAGCACAACUUGGUCGAGUCUUAUUUAUCGUUGCAAGAUCCAAUUGAAGAGGCUUCCCCACCACAGAAGCAAAUGAGAACAAAACUUCUUUCACAAAGAAAGUUGGCAGCAGAUCAGGGAAUGAAAUACAUGUCGUGGCCUUGGUUGUCUCUUCACUUGCUUUGAAGUUGCAUCAUAAAUAAACGGCCUCAUUUGAUAUGCAUAUCCAUCUUUAGCUAUUAUGUAAUAGGAGUUUUUCGAUAGGAUUUUUAUAUAAUCUUCCAUGCGAUCACAUCUGAUCAGAACAUGUCUAUUUCGAAGCAAGCCUAUCUGACAAGACCCUGAUAAACAACAUUAUUUUGGAAUUAAAUCUCUAAUUUCAUUUAUAUCAGGAGCUCCAUAAGAGAA